UGUUGUCUGAGUCACUCAAUUUGAAUACUUCCACGCCGUUUAAAAUGGCAUCGAUCAAAUCAGCAUCUAAUCUAGAGUGUAGAUCAAUGGAAAGCAGAUGUGUGUCAUUACCCUUGUUUUUUAUCAUCACCACGAAGUCCUUGUAGUAAGGCGUAUCGUUGUCGUCAGUCCACAAUAGUACAUCUGCUCUUUCUUCAGCCAGCUGAUAGUCUAUAUAGAUAUAGAAUUCCCUUGUCCCACUGGCAUGUAUCUCAGACUCUAUUUCGCAGAAAUGGAGCCUCACCAGAUAAUUGAAUCCUGUAUCAACAGGUAAGCCCCAUGUCAAAUUAGACUGCUUGUUCUUAGUUCUGUCUGGACCCAUUGAUAUUGCAGACUGAUAGACCGCAUCAGGUGCAGUGUAAUUUGGUAUUUUUGUGUAUUUUGGCUUCAAAGAUGGAUCGCGAGGCACAAAGCCUCCAGACAACAAAUAAUCUCUAUCCUCUGACCAUUUUCUGAACAUGCCUGUGUCUUCCUUUGCUUGUAUCGCACUUCCACCCACGUUUAAUCGAUAAACCAUUUCGAGAGCCAUGCUGUAGUCUAUGUAGAUCGGAUUAGGUUGGCCGACAUAAACUGGGACGAAUUCUUCACCUUUAAUGACAUCUUGUGGCUUGUAGUACAGGUCCAUAGGCAUGGAGACUAUCUCAAUUCCAUUGAUGAAAGCAUGGUAAUUCAUAGAAGUACUUGUAAAAGGGAUGAAGGUUAAGUUCAAUUUUUGAUUCUCAUCAACAUUGAUGCAGAACUCUUUAUAAAUAUCCUUUCGGUCCAAUGAAUGAGUAUAAAUGGAAGCACUGAAGUUUCUAAGUAAGGUGAACGAACCUG